rnacentral:sRNA from 1 species
GACUAAUUCAAUGCUUUGAAUAUUUCAGACAAUCGUCACAGAGAUGGACCUUGUGGAAAACGAUGUUUUGUGGUGGCAACAGUGUCUUUGUUUUUAUUUCUGACCUUCGUAGCCCUGCCGGCCGGGGCUUUUUUAAUCAUUCAUGGUCGUCACCAGAACAGCAUUGCUUUCCAGUUAGGUGGCGCUGCUGUUGUUUGCAUUCCCAUUCUUGCUGCCAUCAUUCUUGCUAUAGUGUUUUUUGUAAGGAGAAACAGGCGCAAAGCAACAUUCACUAGUGUCAGUACAGCCAGGGUAUAAGUGUAGUUGGAGGACUUUGCAGGAUACAACAGAAGCACUCAUAUAGAGUCACAUUGAUAUUGUGCCAGGAUAUAACAGAAGCACUCGUAGAGUCAACAUGAUUUUGUAGAAAAUGUCAUUACACUGACAAGCAUCAUGAAGUUCUUGACACUAGCUAAGUGCUUUAGCCUUGUAACCACAAACACAAUAGGUCCAAAUAAAAGAAGUGGAUUAUUGAAUGUAAUUCAACAAAUUGUUGCCUGUUUGGACUCAUGAAUGAACUACCAUUCUGAUGUGUCAUUAAUAUUUGCCAUCCAUCCUUCCUUUAGUUCCUGCAUGUGUCAGCCUGUGACAUUCAGCCACUAGUCUCAUUAGUAGGCUGUCUGUGCAUUGAACUUCUACAUUGUAAGCUGUCUGUGCAUUGAACUGCUACAUUGUUCUCUGAACUGAGAUUAGGAA